rnacentral:rRNA from 1 species
CAUGUAGGCGGUUGUUUAAGUCUGAUGUGAAAGCCCUGGGCUCAACCCGGGAAGUGCAUUGGAUACUGGAUAACUUGAGUACGGGAGAGGAAAGUGGAAUUUCGAGUGUAGGGGUGAAAUCCGUAGAUAUUCGAAGGAACACCAGUGGCGAAGGCGGCUUUCUGGACCGAUACUGACGCUGAGAUGCGAAAGCGUGGGGAGCAAACA